AUCCUCCCCUGCUUGAGUUCGUGACCAAGGGGUGCAACCCUGGCAGAGCUGAGGCACUGGAAGGAGAGGAAGCAACCGCCUGCCCCCCCUACAAGCUACAGAGAGAUUCCAAAAUGGUGGCUGAGUGAAUGGAAGCUACACAGACCAUCUCCCAGGACAAAACUGGAAUUGCAACUAAAAGACAAAUCGUCGGGCAAAAGCAAGAACAGCAGCUGGGGAGGACCAUAUGACCAGGGGCAGGAAAAGGGGACAAUGAACGGAGCCUGGCUUCUGGACCAGAGCUGUCUACUCAGCUAUCACAAAAGUCAACACAUCUCACCAAGUUUGAUUGAUACCAUUAUCAUCAUCAUAAGAAAGGGUGUACAGCCUCCCAGACCAACUGCCACUCCUAAUGAGGAAGGUACAGAGCCCCUAACAAGUAUAGAGAUGAUAAACAUCGGUUGGAUUCCACGGUUGAAGCCAAAAGCCUUCUUGGCACACCUCUAGCUCAAGUCUCUUGCAAUCACUCAGCCUUGCCUUUAGAGAGCACUGACCUGACCCAACAUACAAGCAAAAGCAGAACGGCUGCUCCUCAUUCCCAGAGGCCCACGAACCACCCACCACUAGCUCCAUGGAGCUGUGUCAGAAGGCUCCACUGGCAGAACAUCAGAUUGGACUCAGAUGUGUUCACCACAGUUCCUUCCACAGACCUCUGUCAUUGUGGGACUACAGGGAUUUUGUUUCCUUUCUCACCUGCCACCCCAAGUUGAAUUUUAUCACCCCGGAUUCUAAGACAAGAGUAUGCAAUGUGGCAUCCUGAGUGACCAGCUCUGCUGGGACACUAUCUGACAGAAGGCAGAGUCACAGAGAAAACAGGAGGGCAAACUGCACAGGCUUCAUUUAGCUUUGUGGAGUCUUCUUUAUCAUUUGAAGCUACUUCAAGAGCUACACUAGAACAAGAAGUCUUCUCCUUUUGCAGGAAAGAGAAUUGAGGCUCUGAAAUAUAAAAUCAGAGAGACGUAAUGCCUCCACUAAGUUUGUCUGACUUGAGUUCACCCUAACCAUGUUGUCUCUGCAGGAGUAAUGGAAAGAUCUCCUCCUGGUCCCCAAAACACUCCCUUCAAAGGCUGGCCAGGGUAUACGCAAGUCCUUCCAAGAUAAUUGGUGUGAAGUGGGCCUAAAGGGUCCCUAAAUCCUGAUGGAAUGUAGAUAUUCUCAAAAGAAGGAGCAUGACAUUGGGCUGUGACCUGCCACUGACACCUCUGUAACACUGGUUGUUAGACACUGGCUCUCACCUUGGCAAACAGAGCAAGAGGAGGAGCUUCAUGUAAGACACAAGUGAGUUUUAAAAGAGGAGAGGGAAGAAGACCUUGGUUUUUAAUCUCUUCUAAUAUGAAAAACAAUUUUUAAAGUAAAAACUUUUCCGCUUCCUCCAUAAUAGUUCUAUAUUAUACCUUUGUAAUAUAUUAAUUGAUAAAACAUAACGAAUAGGAUUUAACUCAAUUUAUGAAUUGGUGACACUGUUAACUAAAAUUUUAUUUUAGUGAAAAACAUGACCUUCUCACAUUUGAAAACCUGUAUCAAAUCAGGUGCAUUGUACAUAUGAACCAUGCUACAAACCACUGCCUUGAAAUCCCAAGAGUCCAAGGCCACAGGUCCAGAAACCCCUGAUUAGAACACUGGGUACUGCUGCAGAUGAGCAGGCCUGGUGGGAUGUGGCAGGGAGGGUUCCCAUGAGGGAACCCGAAAGCAAAGAAUGGGGGAAAGCCCAUAAAUCAUGUUUCACAUACUUCAUAAUUCUACUUAAGACCAGCCCUGCAGCCCUUUAUCCUGUGGUCAACAUAAAAAUUAAUGGUAAGUUAAUACUGACAUUUCGGCAGGGGAACUAUGAGAUGCAGCCACUUGCUAUGGGAGGGAACAUGAGAAAAGAGAGAGAGUGUGUCACAGAAAAAAUUAGCUCAUCCUGACACCAAAAUGAUUUGCCUAAAUAAACACAAAAGAGUAAAAUCAUCUAGAAAAAACAGUAAGACCGUCCUAUAAUAAAGCUUUGGUAUCUUGAUUUGAUUUGGAUUAAAUAAAAAAGUCAACAAGUGCCCAGCUGGUGUGGUUCAGUGGUUGAGCAUCGACCCAUGCACCAAGAGGUCGCCAGUUU